AGUGAACGCUGGCGGUAGGCCUAACACAUGCAAGUCGAACGGCAGCACAGUAAGAGCUUGCUCUUACGGGUGGCGAGUGGCGGACGGGUGAGGAAUACAUCGGAAUCUACUUUUUCGUGGGGGAGAACGUAGGGAAACUUACGCUAAUACCGCAUACGACCUACGGGUGAAAGCAGGGGAUCUUCGGACCUUGCGCGAUUGAAUGAGCCGAUGUCGGAUUAGCUAGUUGGCGGGGUAAAGGCCCACCAAGGCGACGAUCCGUAGCUGGUCUGAGAGGAUGAUCAGCCACACUGGAACGGAGACACGGUCCAGACUCCUACGGGAGGCAGCAGUGGGGAAUAUUGGACAAUGCGCGCAAGCCUGAUCCAGCCAUACCGCGUGGGUGAAGAAGGCCUUCGGGUUGUAAAGCCCUUUUGUUGGGAAAGAAAAGCAGCAGGUUAAUACCCCGCUGUUCUGACGGUACCCAAAGAAUAAGCACCGGCUAACUUCGUG
rnacentral:rRNA from 1 species